CGGCGAGGUGGCUCCUAAGUCUUCACACGUGCUCUCAACUUCUUGGUGUACUCCCGUACCAAAGUACUUGAUGCAAUGCGCGUGGACCAAGUGCACUGGGGGAAAAAAUCACCCACUUUUGACUUGCUUUAAGAUUCUUACCCUUGAAGAUGUGCACCAGAACGCUGGCUGGUUGCGUGUUGCUGGCGACGCAGGUGAAGUUGCCCGAGUGCUCACGUCGUGUCCGCUGAAUGGUGAGCUCAGAAGAUUGAAAGUCUGCAACGGACGACAGCGAUGAAAACGAUGGUGCAAAUUCUGGCAACACAUCUAUUAGCUGUCCAUAUGGGGUUAUUGCCUUUCGAAGAUGAUGAUUUUGGUGCUCUGUUGAAAAGGAUCAGGACCAAGCACCUAAGCGCGUGUAUCAAUCAAUUUUCAAUUGAUAAGGAUUUUAUUUAUUGGCCAACAAAAAGAAUAAAAACGAAUAACGAAGUAAAAAGCAGGGGCAAGCAGUUACUUUCAACUUUCCUGCGAAGGUUUUCUUUCUUACCAAAUAUUGACACACGCGCGCUACAAACUCAAACUGAAAGUGCCACAAAUUCGAGCAAAACCAAGAAAAAUACCAAAAAGGGAAGGGAAGGGAAGUGAAGUGAAGAGAAGAGAAGCACACUCAGGAGAGCCGGCAACUUGAAAUUAAGUUGAACGGCAGAGAAAUUGUUAAAUCAGCUGCGUUUGCCAAUAAAAACGAAUUACAUUCUC